rnacentral:rRNA from 1 species
UACCAGCACCCCGAGUGGUCGGGACGAUUAUUGGGCCUAAAGCAUCCGUAGCCGGCCUUACAAGUCCUCCGUUAAAUCCAGCCGCUUAACAGAUGGGCUGCGGAGGAUACUAUAAGACUAGGAGGCAGGAGAGGCAAGCGGUACUCAGUGGGUAGGGGUAAAAUCCGUUGAUCCAUUGAAGACCACCAGUGGCGAAGGCGGCUUGCCAGAAUGCGCUCGACGGUGAGGGAUGAAAGCUGGGGGAGCAAACCGG